rnacentral:rRNA from 1 species
UACGAGGGGGGCGAGCGUUGUUCGGAAUUAUUGGGCGUAAAGGGUGCGUAGGCGGUUCCGCAAGUCCUGUGUGAAAUCUUCGGGCUCAACUCGAAGUCUGCACGGGAAACUGCGGGGCUUGAGUGUGGGAGAGGUGAGUGGAAUUCCUGGUGUAGCAGUGAAAUGCGUAGAUAUCAGGAGGAACACCGAUGGCGAAGGCAGGUCUCUGGGCUGACACUGACGCUCAUGCACGAAAGCGUGGGGAGCAAACAGG